rnacentral:rRNA from 1 species
UACGGAGGGUGCAAGCGUUAUCCGGAAUCACUGGGCGUAAAGGGCGCGUAGGCGGCCUGUUAAGUCCGAUGUUAAAGACUGGGGCUCAACCCCAGCAUUGCGUUGGAUACUGGCAGGCUUGACGGUUGGAGAGGCGAGUGGAAUUACCAGUGUAGCGGUGAAAUGCGUAGAGAUUGGGAGGAACACCAGUGGCGAAGGCGACUUACUGGGCCGUAACUGACGCUGAGGCGCGAAAGCGUGGGGAGCGAACAGGAUUAGAUACCCGCGUAGU